CCUGCGGGGAAACCAAGCCGGGUGAGCUCUUCCCGGGGCGCCCGGGCCCGCACCUGCCCGCGCUCUUGGCCCCCGGCAGGGGGUGUUCGGUUUAACCCAGGGAACCUCGUUCUCACGCUGAAUCCUAAAUCGCCUUUCCAGUACCUUCGCUUUCCCUUCCUCCUCGUCUGUCUCUCCCACACACAUAUUUAUGGGGUCAUAGGCGCAAGCAGAAACGUCACCGACAGCUUGGCAGCCAGAUUGCUACGCCUGACAUCUGAAAUUUUAUUCAUUAUUCAGUAUCUUUGUCUAAUGUCCAAAGCUUCCCUGUCACCACCUAAAGGAACAGAAACCAGACAAACGAAAACUCCACACCUGAAUAUCGGAAGCUUUCAUCCCUGGUUUUGUGAUGGGAUGUGCAGAGUUAAACAAAGGCUGAAAGGGUUCACUCUGAAGUUGACUAACAGGUGGAGUUCUGUUUCAGUGUAUAUACCCUCUGAUUGACCAAAGCCUCCCCAAAUCAAGCAGCCCCUCGGCCCAGGCAGUGCCUGCCAUCCGCUCACUUACAUUCCCAUCGUGGUUUGGGCAAGAGAGAGGCUUCCCCGCAGCCACAGCGGUGACUGUCUCCAGGAUGGAGGACUCCUCAGCAUUGCUGCCUGGAGUUCGCUGCAGCACGUCCAUCAGAUGGGGAAACUGACAUCAAGGAGGUUAAAUGACCUUCCCUAUGUCACACAGUUGAUAGCACUGAAUCAAUACCAGAGAUGAAACAGCUUUUGCUAAGGUCACUCACUAGCAACAUCUAAAUCUAAUACACAUUUUUUGAUUCUGUCAUUCAUCAAGCUUGAGCACUGCCUCCCCACCCCUCCUUUUUAUGAAACUUUAUCUUUCCUUGGUUUCCGAUACCACACUCACCUCGUUCUCCUUCUGCCUGCUCUCUUUUCUACUGAGUCAAUAUAGUUUGGAGUUAAUCAAGGCUUAUCGUAAGCCCUCUUCUUUCCCUGGGGUAUUAUAUUAUAAUGCACGAUAAGCAUAACACUCUCAUAUUUAUGUUUCUUCCCAUGGAUGCCUCCUCUGAGCCCCAUAACUGUACACCAACUGCUCUCUUGACAUCUCCUCUUAGAGGUCUCACAGGUCCUAAAACUCAACAUGUUCAAAACCAAACCCACGAUAUUCCCACACGCUGUGUCCACCCAUCAGUGAACUGCACCUCCAUCCCUUCAUCUAAGCAAACCAGAAGUAUGAGUCAUUCUAAAAACAGUAAUUCCCAUACUGGUCUUCACUGUCCACAUGCAACCCUUCACCAAAGCCUGGAAAUUCCUCAGUAUGGUUCCAGCCUCCCCAGGUCUCUUCAUCUGUAUGAAGACACCCUUGCUUAGAUGUCUGCGGUCGCCCUGCCCCUGGUAUAAUGCCAUCCACCUUGUACCCCCCUCACCCUUCUCCAUACUGCAACCAGAGUGACCUUUCCCAAAUGCAAAGCCGACCACUUAAAUCUCCUCCCCCUCACAUCUAAGAUGAAACCCUUCCAUGGCUUCCACUGUUCUUACAAUGAAGACAAGAAUCCAUGUGUGGUAAUACGGAUUACCACCUAUAUGAUCUGGACCUAUUUAUUUUCUGUCUUUUCCCCUCAUCUGCUGCACAUUUGGGCCUAUCUAAGUUCUUCCAAAGUGUUAUAUUCCCUUUCACUCUACACCUUUGCACAUACCUGAAAUUCUUUUCUUCUGCUCACUCCCCUUUGCUAAAUUAAUUUUUCCUCCUCCUUGGGAUUUCUGCCUAUUCAUCACUUCUGCAGGGAAGCCUUCCCCGAUUAGAGCAAAUUCCCCUAUUACAUGGUUGCCUGUGUACUUCUGGUAUAUGGCCCUUGUCACUGGUUUAAUCUCAUUAAUCUGAGUGAAUAGGUGUUUAAUAACUGGCUCCUGCACUUGGCUGGAAGCUUCAUAAGGCCAGGGACUGUGUCUGUGUCCUCCAAGCCCCACUGAUGGCAUUUUAGAACAAAUGAGAGUAAGAGAGCGGCUGUCCACUGAGCAGCCGGUGUUUGUGCCCAGCAGGAGAUGGAGUACGCGGGCCUCUCACUCUUGUGGCCUCUCCCGUUGCAGAGCACAGGCUCCGGACGCGCAGGCUCAGCGGCCAUGGCUCACGGGCCCAGCCGCUCCGCAGCAUGUGGGAUCUUCCCGGACCGGGGCACGAACGCGUGUCCCCUGCAUCAGCAGGCGGACUCUCAACCACUGCGCCACCAGGGAAGUCCCCAAUAACAUUUUUUAAUGCUUAAUUGCUGAUGGGGUAAGUUGAACGAGAAGGUAAAAAUAUGU